rnacentral:lncRNA from 1 species
CACAUACACACAGAGAGUUAUACAAGCAUCCACACAUACCAUCAUCACGGAUGCAUCCUCAAACAGCUCGACAGGGAACAUCGACUUCCGACACUCAUUUGCCAAGAUGAAAGUUACAGCUCCAAGCAUUCUUGCACAUGAAGAUUGAGAGUAUCAUAGUCUGGUAGAAACUGCUGGCAAGACGGACACUGAAAAAUCUGCUGCUCUUCCUCAUCGUGCUGACGUGGCUGUUGGUGGCUGCGAGAGGUGGGCUGAAAACACAUCAGAACCAAAUCAUUUGACUGGAGGCAUUGUUGAUGCAGAAAGCAACCCAGGCCCUGCAAAAAGACAGACUCUGCUACCGACAUCAACAUUGUCAUCUAAACAACAGGAUGACAAACAUGACUUGUCCAUUCAUUGACAACAAGAAGGCUUUCCUUUGCUUUGACACACUCGUCAUUGAGGGUAAGACAUACCCAUCUACAAACAGCUUGAAGGAAAGACAAACCAGUGACCAACAGUUAAGUUGCCAUGAGAAGAAUGCUGCUAAGAGAAAUAAAUCAUCAACAUGUGAAGAUAUAAGAACUUGUGCAUCGAAGACGUAAAACCUUCAGUCCCUCUGCUAUUUGUGCUUUGGACAUGGUGUCUGACAUAAUGGAAUUAUAAGAACAUAAGAAGUACAAAUUAAAAAUCCCAUCAUUCAAAGAGUUUUGCAGAAAGUUUAAGAUCUUUGUCUUAUUGGAGACUUUGUCAUGUCAGUUGAGUAAUAGAGAAGACGCCUUCUCAGAUUAUGCUGUGCACUUACUCUCAAGUGAACAGCAACUCAAGGGUGGUGUAGCUGUUUGUGUUCAUAAAACUGUGUCUUCGGAUAGCACACUACUUAAGCAAGCAGAGAAUUUUACAUUUCUUAAAAUAGAUAAGCUUGUUUUGAACUGUUUGGAUGAUAUUGUUGCCUUCAUGUACGUAGCACCAGAAAGGUCAAUAAUUUAUGGGGAUGACAACAGUGAUGGAAAAUGACAUAAAAAGAUCAAACUAUUUACAUCAUAUUUAUAGGAAUAUAUCACUAGUGAAUGUGAAAAACAUAAUAGAUUAAAGAAAGAUUAACGACAAUACAAGGUUUAUAUCCUUCAUCCUUUGUGAUGUCACAGUCGUCACAGAUUUGGGCACAACUAUUGGAGGUAUUGGUAAUUCUAGCAGUCGUGAAGCAUACACUUUAAGGCAUUCUUUGAAGUCUAGCUUUAUUUAUUUUUUUCUUAAUAAUGCCUUCUCUUUUUGUUUUUGUUUGAAAGAAGAAGACAAUGAACAAAAAAUUGCUGACCAAAGCCGGCUAUUCUACAGUUGCAGGCAUGAGCACACCAUCCUUCCCUGCCCCUCCCUCUUAUCAGGCCUGCUUGUAACUUAUUAGUAUAGGACUGAUGUUGGAGAAAUAUGGUUGUAGAUGUAAUAGGAUUAAAAAUAAACCAAACAAUGAUGAUAACGGGAAUUUUUUAAAAAAGAUAUUUUUACCUGUUACCCACCAACUCUAAAACACAAUUUUUCUUUUACAUUAAUGAUAAAAAAGGAGUUAUAAAAAACUGAAUUCUCAGUCACUAAAAGAACCCCAUCACACAAAA